rnacentral:misc_RNA from 1 species
AACGCACGAGACCUGCGGACCUGCGGAAGGAUCAUUGCUGGAACGCGCCCCAGGCGCACCCAGAAACCCUUUGUGAACUUAUACCUUACUGUUGCCUCGGCGCAUGCCGGCCCCCAGGGGCCCCUCGGAGACGAGGAGCAGGCACGCCGGCGGCCAACCUAACUCUUGUUUUUACACUGAAACUCUGAGAAAAAAAACAAAAUGAAUCAAAACUUUUAACAACGGAUCUCUAGAUCGGAA